GACGAACGCUGGCGGCGUGCUUAACACAUGCAAGUCGAACGGAAAGGCCCUGCUUUUGUGGGGUGCUCGAGUGGCGAACGGGUGAGUAACACGUGAGUAACCUGCCCUUGACUUUGGGAUAACUUCAGGAAACUGGGGCUAAUACCGGAUAGGAGCUCCUGCUGCAUGGUGGGGGUUGGAAAGUUUCGGCGGUUGGGGAUGGACUCGCGGCUUAUCAGCUUGUUGGUGGGGUAGUGGCUUACCAAGGCUUUGACGGGUAGCCGGCCUGAGAGGGUGACCGGCCACAUUGGGACUGAGAUACGGCCCAGACUCCUGCGGGAGGCAGCAGUGGGAAUAUUGCACAAUGGGCGGAAGCCUGAUGCAGCAACGCCGCGUGCGGGAUGACGGCCUUCGGGUUGUAAACCGCUUUCGCCUGUGACGAAGCGUGAGUGACGGUAAUGGGUAAAGAAGCACCGGCUAAUUACGUG
rnacentral:rRNA from 1 species